UGUGGUUUUGUGUUUUGCCUGGUAUGGUUCUCAAUCAGAGGCAGGUGUCGUUCGUUCUCUCACCCCGACAGACCGGGGUGUGAGAGAAAACGAGAGCUUCCCGUUCAUUAAGGGAUAAAGGGCCUGGUUAGCAUUGACCAUUAUCCGUAUCCAAUUCACCAUCGCCAUGCCAGGCUCUCAUGCACGCUCCAUCAAAGCUCUGUGUACAGAGUUAUUUAUGAACUCUCUCAGCCAGCCUCUAUGACUGUCCAGCCAGGUCAACCACUGACCAUCUCCUGUAAGGUCUCUUAUUCUGUUACUAAAACUUGGACAGCUUGGAUUUGACAGCCUGCAGGGAAAACACUGGAAUGGAUUGGAAAUGUAUAUUCUGGAGACACACAAUACAAGGAUUCACUGAAGAACAUGUUGGGCCUCUCAGUAGAUUCUAGCAGUAAUACUGUGUUUUUAAAAGGGAACAUCCAGAUUGAAGAUACAGCUGUGUAUUAUUGUGCCUACCCUCACAGUCAUACAAACCAGCACCAGAGCUGUAUAAAAACCCAUCCUCUUGGGAGACACUGUAUAGAAUAUGGAAGCUGAAGAGCAGCAAUGUAAUGCUCCUCUUUUCCACUAAUUGUAUUAAAAAUAAAUGUUUUAUCCAUAAAAUGCUCAGUAAGAAUGUCUAGCCCAUCUCCUUUGUUAAUAAAUCAGAGGAGUUAUAGUCAAUAUACCACAUGCACCUGAAACAAUUACAGACUUAUAACAUCGUUAUAGGAAUAUAUUGUGUAAUUAAUGCUUACAUGGCUUUACAAUAGCUGUACUUUUGAGAUUGUUCUACAUGAUAUUAUGAUGUUUCUUAACAGGUGUACACUGUGGUCUUAAGCUCACCCAGCCGAGUUCAAUGGUUAUAAAUUCUGGAGUCUUUGGUAAUCACCUCUGGGUAUUCUCUGACUGAUAGCACCAACCUCUAUAGAGUAUCAUGGGUCCAUGGGUCGCAUUACCACAGUGAAACAAACAAGCCCAAAACUUUUCCAAAAAUCCCAACAGCCAUGAGUAGAAAACAAACUUAAUCAUAUUGUAUUUCCCCGACCAGAAAUACUGGUGUACCAUUCAUAGACGUCUACAUAGUAAAUCAAGUGUGAAAAUAGACAAAAGCAAUUCUCAAAUCAUUCCUCUGUACAUUUCACUCUACAUGAUGUGUUGUAUCUUAUUUGCUCUAUAAGAGGUGUCAAUAAUCAAGAAAAUUCAGAGUUCAUACUAGCUAGCUAUAGUUAACCAUAGUUACUUCACUGAAAAUAUCAGCAGCAAGUCAUUACAUUCUGAUACGGAUUCUGUGUAUAACUUGUCACAAUGAUACAAGUUGUUUAUUUCCUCCUUUUAUAACUCUUUCACUCUAUGCAAAGCAACUCUCCUCUCUUGUGUAUAAAGAGGAAUAUCUCACUCUCUUUCACUGAGUUCAGAAGUGCAGUUACCAUCAGUUCAGCUUCAACACAAACCAUGUUCCCUGCAUCUCUGCUGUUGGUGCUGGCAGCUGUAUCCUGUGUGUUCUGUCAGACUGAACUCACACAGCCAGGCUCUUUGACUCUGCAGCCUGGACAGCCUCUGACCCUCUCCUGUAAGGUAUCUGGGU